AAUCAACGCUGGCGGCGUGCCUAACACAUGCAAGUCGCACGAGAAAGGGACUUCGGUCCUGAGUACAGUGGCGCACGGGUGAGUAACACGUGAAUGAUCUACCUUCGAGUGGGAAGUAACUGAGAGAAAUACUUAGCUAAUACCGCAUAAUACCUACGGGUCGAAAGACAGCAAUGCGCUUGAAGAGGAGUUCGCGGCAGAUUAGUUAGUUGGCAGGGUAAUGGCCUACCAA
rnacentral:rRNA from 1 species